CCCGCCCAUAACAAUGGUAUGCUGUUCAUUUUCAAAGUGCUCCAACCACUCUUGCUGAGGUACAGGUUGUACACGCCUACUCAUUUCCUUCUUAUCAGAAGAGUGAAAAUGCUGCAGAAAACCACCUCUUCUGUUUGUAUUUCACUUCCGGAAACAUGCACAUCCCAUCAACUCUCUCUAUCUUCAGUUUACUGGUGAAUAAAGAAGGACUUAAAGAGACCCAUGAAUGAAGAAGAGAGAAGCAGAGGGAAAGAGAGAAACUGAUUGAAAAGAUGCAGUCAAAACGGGCGGUAGGAAAAAGAAGGAGAAGCAGCAGCUGCCAGUGCUGGUCCCAACAGUAACAACCCAGAUCCUGAAGGCAUCUUUCCUGGAAGUUUUCCUAAAAGAUGAUCCAAACACCUAACUAACUGUACUGAUUUAAAACAGCACCAACAACAUCAACAACAAACCUAAGGCCCAGAGGUCAGAACUAUUACAAAUAUAAUGUCAUAUCCAUAAAUUCCUAAUCUUAAUGCCUCAUGCUGCACUUAUAUA